UACGGGGGGGGCAAGCGUUGUUCGGAAUUACUGGGCGUAAAGGGCUCGUAGGCGGCCAACUAAGUCGGACGUGAAAUCCCUCGGCUUAACCGGGGAACUGCGUCUGAUACUGGAUGGCUUGAGAUUGGGAGAGGGAUGCGGAAUUCCAGGUGUAGCGGUGAAAUGCGUAGAUAUCUGGAGGAGCACCGGUGGCGAAGGCGGCAUCCUGGACCAACACUGACGCUGAGGAGCGAAAGCCAGGGGAGCAAACGGG
rnacentral:rRNA from 1 species